rnacentral:rRNA from 1 species
UACGAAGGGGGCUAGCGUUGCUCGGAAUCACUGGGCGUAAAGCGCACGUAGGCGGAUUGCUAAGUCAGGGGUGAAGUCCUGGAGCUCAACUCCAGAACUGCCUUUGAUACUGGCGAUCUCGAGUCCGGGAGAGGUGAGUGGAACUGCGAGUGUAGAGGUGAAAUUCGUAGAUAUUCGCAAGAACACCAGAGGCGAAGGCGGCAUCCUGGACCGACAUUGACGCUGAUGAGCGAAAGCUAGGGGAGCAAACGGG